rnacentral:rRNA from 1 species
UACCUUUUGGUUCGGAACAACUGAGGGAAACUUCAGCUAAUACCGGAUAAGCCCUUACGGGGAAAGAUUUAUCGCCGAAAGAUCGGCCCGCGUCUGAUUAGCUAGUUGGUGAGGUAAUGGCUCACCAAGGCGACGAUCAGUAGCUGGUCUGAGAGGAUGAUCAGCCACAUUGGGACUGAGACACGGCCCAAACUCCUACGGGAGGCAGCAGUGGGGAAUAUUGGACAAUGGGCGCAAGCCUGAUCCAGCCAUGCCGCGUGAGUGAUGAAGGCCCUAGGGUUGUAAAGCUCUUUUGUGCGGGAAGAUAAUGACGGUACCGCAAGAAUAAGCCCCGGCUAACUUCGUGCCAGCAGCCGCGGUAAUACGAAGGGGGCUAGCGUUGCUCGGAAUCACUGGGCGUAAAGGGUGCGUAGGCGGGUCUUUAAGUCAGGGGUGAAAUCCUGGAGCUCAACUCCAGAACUGCCUUUGAUACUGAAGAUCUUGAGUUCGGGAGAGGUGAGUGGAACUGCGAGUGUAGAGGUGAAAU